AGACGGAGUUUCACCAUGUUGGCCAGGAUAGUCUUGAUUUCUUGACCUUAUGAACCACCACACCCAGCCUCUGUUCCAUUUUUAUAUGAAAGGACAAAGGAGCGGGUGGAGAUGAAGGGAGAGUUGGUGACUUAUUCACCUGUGAUGGCUGCUGUGGGGGAAGAGGUGAGGUGAGACUGGGAGGAGUUGAUUAUGGCAUUAGAAAUUGGAAGUACGUGGAAUGUUGUUGAGGCUGGGAGCAAGAAUUGACUUAAACACAACAGAAGGGCUAGGCUAACCAAGCUUCCAUUUGAAGUCGUGGAGCAGGAGUUGAUGGGGUAUCAAUCCAUGUGGUCAGAUAGUGCAAGGCAGCUCUGCAUGUCCAGGAGGCCAGGACACAGGGAGGCUAGGCGGAGAGGUGCCAGUGAGGGAGGUGGAGAUAGGCAGAUCCUGAAGGGCCUUUAAACUAUGGGUUUCGAUUUUAUUGUGACAUUAUUCAUUAUCUAGCCAGCUUUUAUAGGAGCAGUUUAUAAAGUAUGUUCUAGGGAAUACUAUUGAUCAACACGUUUUUCAAAAGUCUAAAUUGUGUUCAAAUUGGUGUCUUGUGAGAAUUAAUAGAAUACAUAUUUAGAUCACUUUCAUAAAUAAAUACAUUAACAUCAUAUUUUCAGUAAGCUCAUAUUUGAUAUCUAAUCAAAUUCUUUUAGUCAUGAAUUUGAAUGAGAGGUUUUUUGGGUUAUUGUUACUGUUUGUUUUGUCUUCUGUGUUUUUAUAUUUGGAAGCAGAAUUAGCUUUUGGUCUCUUAAGUGACCCCUUAGUCACUUAAGAUGGUGUUCAUUUCCAUCAUUGUGCUUAUCAUGCACUUGAGUUCUCGUGUUUAUUUCUUUGUCCACUUGUUUAAUUUCAGCCUCUUCACACUAAAAUAGGAGCUUUGUAAAGGCAAGGACCUAGUCUUGUUCACUGUCACACUUCUUGUACUUCUCAGGAAAUAUUCAUUGGGGGCAGGGUAGAGGAGUUGGGGAAGGAAGGAAGGAAGGAAGAGAGAGAACAGUGAAGCGGGAAGGAAGGAGUUCCAAAAACUGCUUCCCUAGUGGUCAUGGAAACUCUUUAAUAAAUUAGAAUGUUGUCUCCAAAAAAUACAGGCAGAUAUGCGUUGACAAUUGCCUUUCAUACACCUUAACAAACUAGUUACAUAAUGGGAUAUCAAAAUUCAGUCAAUGUGUUUGCUAGUUUAAUUUGUUGUGAUUAAAGAAAACAAUGAUUUUAUUUAUAAAUUUAGCACCUAGGAAAUGUGAUUUCAAAUAUCAAAGCAUAGGCAUUUUUUACUCUUUUUAAAAUUGAAGGGUCAACAAAAUCUGCCUUAUUCUUCACAGUUUUUUCUCUGUCAGUAAUGUAGCAGUGUGUUAAUUUCCAGAAAUUUAAUCUCUUCUAUAAAAUUUCCUGUGACCUGAAAACUUUUGAAUUGGAGUUAAUUUACCAAACUGUCAUGGAAUGCCUGAAAUUUCCUUGGGGCAGAGGAGGUAGCAGAGAGGUGGGCAACUCCUCACUUAACAGCAAGAGGGGAUGAGAAGGUUGAGUGACUCACCCAGGGAAGUGACUCACCCAGGGAAGGUCAAGUGACUCACCCAAGGUUACUUGGUAAGUAAAGAGAGAAGCCAGAAGCCUGGGGCCUCCUGACGGCUCCUGCUUCUCUUUUUACUAAGGUCUUCUGCCAUGGGAAGAAACUCUGAAUGUUAGCAACCAUCUGGAUGGUGUUAGUUGUAUGUCUCUCUAUGUAUGUUGAAAAGAAAAUGUUGAAGAAUUGAAUUUCUCCUGCUUAUGGGUUGUGUCACAUUUAAUAGCGUUCUUUAAGAAAAAAACACGAUUGCUCAAUAUGAUUAUAUGAGCUCACCAUAACCAAUGACAGGCAGAAAAUCCUGGGAGGAUAGACACUAACACCACAUUAUCCUGUUGGGAUAAUAUCCCAAAUUCUGAAUAUAACUUUCUUUUACCACUUUAAAGGCCAAAAAAUGGCUGUUAAAUGGAGUAUUUUUGUCAAACCAAGUUUUUAAAGUUUUCAGCAGCUGCUUCUGCUGGCUUUUAUUAACUACUGAAGAGUCUUUUUUUUUUUUUUUUUUUGAGAUGGAGUCACGCUCUGUCACCCAGGCUGGAUUGCAAUGGCGUGAUCUCAGCCCACUGCAACCUCUGCCUCCCGGGUUCAAGCGAUUCUCCUGCCUCAGCCUCCCUAGUAGCUGGGUUUACAGGCGCCCGCCACCGUGCCUGGCUAAUUUUUGUAUUUUUAGAAGAGAUGCGGUUUCACCAUGUUGGUCAGGCUGGUCUUGAACUCUUGAUCUCAUGAUCUGUACACCUCGGGCUCCCAAAGUGUUGGGAUUACAGGCAUGAGUUACCGGACCCUGCCUACUCAAGAGUCUUAAUUGAACAUCAAAAUCCUGGUUUUGUUUAUAAGGAAAAAAAGUUAAUGGUGCAACUAGGACUAAUUCUUUGAUUAAUUUUUUAACCACUUCUACUUAGCAAGUAUAUGAAACACAUUAAAGACUGAUGCAUCUGUUUUGUUUUUGUUUUGAGAUCAGGUAGAAGAUCUACAAAACUAGUUGGAGGCUGGAAAGAAAUUUCAGAUAGUGAUACAUAGAAAUGUUCUGCCUUAACUCUGAAUUUUUAGUCAUGAAAUAGUGCAAACUCUUAACAUUACUUUUGUGGAGCUUUGUAGUCCAUAAAAAUAACAUUGUUGUAGAGCCUCUGUAUGCGUCAGCUGUGACUGAGUGUUUUGAUGUCUUAGCAAAAGGCAGAGGAGUGCUUUCCUUUGAAAUGUGUGAGGCGGUUUGAGAUGCAGCUUCUCAGAUGGAUUUAAUUAGUCCUUCGUAGAACUGGAUGUCCGUUUGUUGCAACUGAAUUCUCAUUUCAUUCAUCCAUAACUAGAAACACCUCGCUUCAAACGGGUUUCUUCAAAGAAAGAGGGGUUUAGGGUUCUAUGUUGUACUGCUUUUUGAUGUUGGUUUCCCUUUAACUGAGAAGACCUUAUGUUUAUACAACUGUUAUUAUUAAGAAAACACAGCUUUCUUCAGCGAGGUUCCUUUUGCAUCAGCGCUGGUUCUUGGUGGCAGUCAGAGGUCUGUGGAAUGGAUCUCUGUCAGACUAUCACAGCAGCUGUGUGUUUGCAGAUUUUGCUUAUGAGAGGCAUGAACUGAAAAUAGGCGUAAACUUGAGUAAUUCCCUAAACCCAAAAUAUAAGAUAGAAACCAGUAACUGAAUCUGGUAACAGGGUAGUUGUUUGUUUCAGAAGCUUAUAUUAACCACAAAAACAAAGUGAAUCAACUAACAAGGGUUACCAUGACCCAAAUAGUAAUUGCAUUUUGAUUCACUUUGCCUACAGUGCACAGGUCAGGUCUGCUUCUCAAUAAAUAUGUUGAAAGAAUGAAAUAUAUCCUUCAUAGUAAAAUUAUGUUUUUUAAAAAAUAUGUCCUACUACUAAUAUUUUUUAAAUUAUCCCUAAACCUUCACAUUUCAUUAGAAUAGCUACUUCAAUUUACUCUGAAAAAACUGCUUUCUUGUCUUUCCAGUUUGUGUGUCCAGGGUCUGACGUGCUCCAUCAUCAAGGCAGCUUUUAUCUUCUGUGUCCGUGAUUCUAAUUACAUUUCAGGGGGUUGUGAUCUCUCCCAGAAUCCCGUUCAUGCAUUGUGUUUAGGAUGAAAUGCUUGAGGGGGUUUGGGGCUGUACACUCAUGGGCACAGGUUUGCAUAUCUAAAACUUUCUUUGCUCUAACAUCCUGAUUUGUAUAAAAAUCCUAAAAGCAAAUUUCAGACUUCUAAUUAUUCUUUGCCUUUAAGGAAAGACAAAAUUAAUUUAGACUGUUCAAGCUUAAAAUUAUCCCAAAGCCACAGAUCACACUGAAAACACAUAGUAAUAUAGCCCACAAAUUAUUUUGGUGUCUUGUUUCCAUAUUCCAUCCAAGAGUCUGUAGAAUCUGUAGGCUUAUAUUUCUGUCUUGUUUCUUAGCCAUAACUGAUCUUUUCCAUCUUAUUCACCAGACUCAGCACUGCGUAACUGUGGCAAUUUCUGAAACUCAGUGGCAAGGGAUAUACCACCAUUGAAGAGAUUAAAAAUAAUCAACAAAGGCUUUAAAAAGUUUAAAAAAUGUAUUUGGAGCAAUAAUAGCAAUAGGUCAGAAAAAGUUUUCACGGAAAGGGCCAAUAUACAAUUAGGUUUCCAUCUCUGUAUUCUUGAUUGUGUGUUUUAUGUCUUGUGACUAUCUUGUGGAGUUCCUAAUUUUAAAAGAAUUAUGGGUGUGGCUCAGGAAUAUUUUAUUACAUUUGUGUAAAUUAAAUAAUUUUUUAAAAUUAUGGAUGUGAUUUAAAUAUUCUUUUAGUGGUUCUGCCUUUGGUACAGUGUUCCAUGAUUUUGUAAUGUUUUUAUUUGUUGAAAAAGCUCUAAAAAUCUUGGUAGAAAUAUAGAAUCUCAGAAGGCAGAACAUUUGGUAAUUAUCUUUUAUAUCAAUUUGCAAGACAACUUGUUAGGGAGCCCUAUUUCUAGUAGUUGAAGUUAAUAAGUAACAAAUCACAGCAAUCACGUUUUUUAUCAUGCAGAGUGGGCAGUCUUAUAAAAAAGAAACGUCAGUCUUUUUGGAUAUAGGGACACAAGCAAUCAUAGUUUUCCUCUGUUAUCUUUAGUUUGUAAAAAUCAACCUAUCUACCAUCAGCAUUUACCCACAAGGUUUAGUUUGGAGUUACCUAAGGGGAUGGUAGAGAAACAAUAAUUUAACGUUAUGCUGAAAACAAUAGUCUCUGAAGAUAGAGAAACCUCUGUCACUUACCAGUUGUGUAAAGUUGGAAAAGUUACUUAGCCUCCCUGAACCACUGCAGCAGUGGUGUUUACCUGAAUGUUGGCAUAGAGGAAAACCAAGGGUCACGAGGCAGGUGGACUUGAGUUUAAAUACCAAUCCUGAACCUGCUGGCUGUGGAAUCCAGCAGAAGUUAGUUAUCUUUUCUUAGCCUUAGUUUUCCUUAUCUGUAGAAUAGGGAUAGUAUUCUCCAGGGUUUUUGUAAAAAUUAAAUGAGAUUUUAUAUAAAGGCUCUAGUACAGUGGCUGAUGUAAUAAGCACCCCAGAAAUGAUUUCUCUUCCCUCUAAAA